AGACUUCAACAUGUGUGGCCCAAACUAGAAAAGAAACAAAAAAGACACUGGUUCAUGUAACAGUAAUGAUAUGCCCCGCUCCCAAUCAUGGAUCAAAGGCGCACACAGCUGAAUGUGUUGCAGCGUGCAGCAGUGAACUACCAGGCUGUACUUGGAGAGAACUCUGCCCAGUACUCACCAACACUCUUUCUGAGGUGCCCUCUGAUUCAGACUUUGGAAUUCCUUUUUCAACUUCACCUUGGCUAUCACAUCGAUACCGGUAAGCAAACUUCUUUCUCAGAGCCUCUGCUAUGAGGGCAGCAGGGUCAGCAGCAUCCACCGGUUUGGGCUUCAUGUCUUGUGCUGACCUGAGAGAAAUGAACAUGAACCGAGGGGGCGCUGAUCCCUCCGGGAAGCACACGGGGAGCCUGGCGGCCCUUCCCUGGCAUCAAUACACGUGACAAAGACACUGACACAUACUGAUGCGGCGAAGUGGAAAACCUAGAUUUAAAGCUCAAUGAAAGAGCACAAAAGUGCCCAGUAACAGUCCCUCAGGUCCUCUCAGGAGCAGAGAUUAUGUGCUCCUUCAGGGCAAUUAGGGUUCCAUUCUUCUCCAAAAGCCUGGUGACUACCAUAGCAGGGACGCAUACAGCUUCACUGGAUGAAUGACUGCACAGUAACGAAAAGCCUUCAAAUGCAGUUGGGGGAGAAACUGGAAAGUUACCUGCAAGUGUUUAUUCUGCUAAUCUCUUAGGCUCCUGUACACAGUUAACUAUCUUUUUUAAACUACAAACUUAGAGCUACUCAUGUAGUCAUGUUAGAAAACAAGGUUCGCAAGAAACCUAGUACUUGGGAGAUCGGUUCAAGAUGGCACAGUAGAAGGACGUGCUCUCCCUCCUGCAAGAGCACCAGAAUCACAACUAACUGCUGAACAACCAUCGACAGGAAGACACUGGAACUCACCAAAAAAGACAGCCCACAUCCAAAGACAAAGGAGAAGCCACAAUGAGACAGUAAGAGGGGCACAAUCACAAUAAAAUCAAAUCCCAUAACUGCUGGUGGGUGACUCACAGACUGGAGAACACUUAUACCACAGCAGUCCACCCACUGGAGUAAAGGUUCUGAGCCCCACGUCAGGCUUCCCAACCCGGGGGUCCGGCAACAGGAGGAGGAAUUCCCAGAGAAUCAGACUUUGAAGGCUAGCGGGAUUUGAUUGUAGGACUUCGACAGGACUGGGGGAAACAGAGACUCCACUCUUGGAGAGCACACACAAAGUAGUGUGUGCACUGGGACCUAGGGGAAGGAGCAGUGACCCCAGGGGAGACUUAACCAGACCUACCUGCUAGUGUUGGAGGGUCUCCUGCAGAGGCAGAGGGUGGCUGUGGCUCACCGUGGGGACAAGGACACUGGCAGCAGAAGUUCUGGGAAGUACUCCUUGGUGUGAGCCCUCCCAGAGUCCACCAUUAGCCCAAAGAGCCCAGGUAGGCUCCAGUGUUGGGUCACCUCAGGCCAAACAACCAACAGGGAGGGAACCCAGCCCCACCCAUCAGCAGACAAGCAGAUUAAACUUUUACUGAGCUCUGCCCACCAGAGCAACAGCCAGCUCUACCCACCACCAGUCCCUCCCAUCAGGAAACUUGCACAAGUCUCUUAGAUAGCCUCAUCCACCAGAGGGCAGACAGCAGAAGCAAGAAGAACUACAAUCCUGCAGCCUGUGGAACAAAAACCACAUUCACAGAAAGACAAGAUGAAAGGGCAGACAGCUAUGUACCAGAUGAAGGAACAAGAUAAAACCCCAGAAACCAACUAAAUGAAGUGGAGAUAGGCAACCUUCCAGAAAAAGAUUUCAGAUUAAUGAUAGUGAAGAUGAUCUAGGACUUCGGGAAAAGAAUGGAGGCAAAGACUGAGAAGACACAAGAAAUGUUUAGCAAACACCUAGAAGAAUUAAAGAACAAACAGAGAGAUGAACAAUACAAUAACUGAAAAGAAAAAUACAGUAGAAGGAAUCAAUAGCAGAAUAACUGAGGCAGAAGAACGGAUAAGUGACCUGGAAGACA